AUUUUGCUUUAAUUUUUUAUUAUUCAAAAUAAUAUUACUGGCACUAAAUUGCCUUUGGAAAAUUGUAUAGUCCUUUCAAAUUGUUCCACCUUCCCCUUCCCUCCACUCCAAAGGCCUACAAACUGACUUUCUUUCUCUUUAAGACCAGUGUUCUUUUCCUGAUAUUACCUGGUUAUAAUUUGUAGAAUAUUACAGUUUUUGAGCAAUCAAAACAAAAAAUAACCCCAAGUCAAACUGGACAAAUGAAAAAGGAGAUAAAAGCUCAUUGAAGAAAGGAAUUCUUUCAAAAUUAGAAUUGGGGAAGUAGAAGCUAAUAACUCAAUGGAACAUCAAGAAGUAAUAAAACUAAAUUAAAAGAAUAAAAUAAAAAAACACAAGAAAAUGUGAAAUAUCUCAUUGGAAAAACAAUUGAUGUGGAAAAUAGAACAAGGAGAGAUAAUUUAAGAAUUAUUAGAGUAGAGGCAGCUAGGUGGUGUAAUGGUUAGAGCACUAGCCCUGAAGUCAGGAGGACCUGAAUUCAAAUCUGGCCUCAGACACUUAAUAACUCCUUUCUGUGUGAUUCUGGGCAAGUCACUUAACCCCAAUUGCCUCAAGGGAAAACAAAAAGAAUUAUUAGAGUACCUGAAAGCCAUGGUAAAAAGAAAAAAGAGCCUAAGUAUCUAUCAGUCCUGAUAUUCUAGAACCAGAUGGUAAAAUGGAAGUUGAAAAAAAUCUAAUGAUCCCUUCCUGAAAGAAAACUCAAAAUGAAAAUGUCCAAGAAUAUUAUAGCCAUACUCUGGAGUUCUAAGGUUAGGGAGAAAAUACUGCAUGUAGCAGAAAGAAGCAAUUCAACUAUUGUGGAACUGCAGUCAGGAUAACCUAAUAUAUAACAGUUUUUACUUUAAAGAAUUGGAGGGUUUAGAAUAUGAUAUUCUGGAGAGCACAGGAAUUAGGAUUACAAUCAAGAAUCAACUGCCUGGCAAAAUAGAAUAUUAUCCUUCAGACAAAAAAAAUGGGAGGGGAUUCUAUGAAACAGAGGACUUUUCAGUUGUUCCUGAUAAAAAGGCCAGAGCUAACUACACAAUGUAAUUUUUAAAUUCAAGACUCAAGAGAAGUAUUAAAAGAUAAACGAGAUAGAGGAAUCAUAAGGAAUCCAAUAAUGUUAAAUUAUUUAUAUUCCUUCAUGGGAAGAUGAUAUUUGUAACUCCUACAAACUUUCUCAUUAUUGGAGCAGUUAGGAGUACAUAGAUACAGAGGUCACAGAUAUGAGCUGAAUAUGAUUAGUUGGUAUAUUUUAAAAAUACAGUAAAGGAGUAAAAAGAGAAAUGCACUGGGAAAAGGAAGAAGGGAGAUAUAAAAUGGGUAAAUUAUCUCACAUAAAAGAAGCACAAAAGAGCUUUUUCAGUUAGAGGGGAAGACAAGGAAUAUGGGCAGCAUUUGAACCAUAUUCUCAUCAGAAUUGGCUCAGAGGAGAUACCAUACAUACUCAGUUGAACAUAGUAAUUAUUUUUCUUUACAGGAAAGUAGGAAGGAAAGGGGACAAGAGAAGGGAAGCAUUGAUAGAAGGGAAGGCAGAUUGAUGAUGAACAGAAUGAAAGGAAAGAGAGAAUAGAAUAAAUGGGAAAGAAUUGGAUGGAGGGAAAAACACAGUAAUCGUAACUGUGAAACAAUUUUAUUGCAAGUAUCUCUGAUAAAGACUUCAUUUCUUAACUAUAUAGAGAACUGAAUCAAAUUUAUAAGAAUGAGUCAUUCCCCAAAUGGUCAAGGAUAUAAACAGGUAAUUUUCAGACAAAGUAAUCAAACCUAUCUAUAGUCAUAUUUUAAAAGUACUCUAAAUCAUGAUUUAUUAGAGACAUUCAAAUUAAAACAGUUUGAGAUACUAGCCCACAUCUAUCAGUCUGGCUAAUAAAACAGAAAAAGGGAAAUGAUAAAUGUUGGAGGGGAUGUGGGAAAAUUGAGAUACCAAUACACUAUUGGUGGAGUUGUGAGCUAUUUUAAACUUUCUGGAGGGCAAUUUGGAGCUAUGCCCAAAGGGCUAUGAAACUGCAUGCCCAUUGUUCCAGCAUUACCACUACUAGGUCCUGAUCUCAAAGUUAGAAAAAAAACAAAAAGGAAAAGGACCUAUAAGUACAACAAAAAGUUAUGUCAACUCUUUUUGUGGUGGCAAAGAAUCAAAAAUUGAGGGGGAUCCUCAUCAAUUGGGAAAUGGCUAAACAAGUUGUGAUAUAUGAGUGUGAUGGAAUAGUAUUGUGCUAUAAGGGAUGAGAAGAUGAUUUCAGAAGAACUGAUACAAAGUAAAAUGAGUAGAACCAGGAAAACAUAGUACCCAAUCAUUGAAGAAAGGAAUUCUUUAAAAAUUAGAAUUGGGGAAGUAGAAGCUAGUAACUCCAUGGAACCCAAUAAUUACCCAAUAAGUACCCAAUAACAGCAAUGUUGUAUGAUGGUCAACUGUGAAUGAUUUAGCUAUACUCAGCAAUACAAUGAUCUAAAACCGUUCUGAAGGACUUAUGAUGAAAAAUACAAAUCCAUCUCUAGAGAGAAAAAAUUAAGUGUUUGAAUGACAAUUAGAACAUACUUUUUUUUUUACUUUGUUUUUCUUGGUCUGUGUUUUCUUUCACAACAUGACUAAUAUGGAAAUAUUUUUGCAUGAAUGCACAUGAAUAACAUGUCAAAUUACUUGUCUUCUCAAUGAGGCGCAGGGGAGAGGAUGGAGAGAGAGAAUUUGGAAUUUGAAGUUUUAAGGAACAAAUGUUAAAAAUUAUUUUUACGUGUAAUUGAGGGAAAAUGAAAUAUUAAAAAUUUUAAAAAUGUUUUAAUGAUCUACUCUUUUGGAGCAUCCAUUACUUAUUACAAAAAAAAAAAAAAAUAGUGAAACAAAAUAGGUCAACACAGGGCCCAAGUACAAAAUUAUAAGGUGAAGGAUUUCAGUAGAUCCUUGAAGUAGCCAAAGAAGCUAAGUAGUAGAGUUGGGGAGUGAGGGAAUUCCAGGAAUGGGUUACAGCCAGUGAAAAUGUCCAGAGUUUGGAGAUGGAGUGUGUUUAGGAAUGAACAGCAGAAAUGUCAAAAUCAUUGUACUGAAGAGUAUGGGUGAGGACCAAGGGAUGUAAUAUAAAAAGAAUAAAAAGGGGGAGGGGAGAAAAGGUUAUGGAGGCCUUUAAAAGCCAUACAGAAGAUUUUAUAUUUGAUCCUAAAGGAGAUAAAGAGGCUUUAGAGUUUACUGAAUAGGAGGAUUACAUGUUGAAGCCAUGCUGUAGGAAGAUAAAUUUAACAGCCAAAAGAAGAACAGGCUAAAAUUAGGAGAGAUUCAAGGUAGAGAGACCAACAAUCAUGCUAUAGCAUGCAUCCAUGAAUGAGGCAAUAAGGGUCUGCACAACAGUGGCAGCCAUAUUAGAGGACAGAAAGGGAUAAAUAUGAGAAAUGUUUUAAAUGUAGAAACAACAGGACUUGAUAAAAGCUGGAUAUAGGGAAUGAAAAAGAGUGAGGAGUUGAGAAUAGCAUUAAAGUUGUGAAUCUGGAUGAAUAUGAAGAUAAUGCUACUCUCCACAAUAAUAGAAAGGCAUGCUAUAUUUUCACAUGCUCAAAUGCCUCUCAUGCUCUUCUGAUGACAGUUACUGCUCCAUCAGUCUACAAACAAGAAAGAACCUCUAAUUUGGCAUUUGUCAUACAAGAAAACUUCUCAACCUAUACAUGUUCUCUUCUGGUUAAAAUUAUAUUAAAUAUAAAUUUGGAGAA